UAUAGAAGGGGGGAGAUUGAGCUUCGACCACUGCGCAUCCUAUUUUCAUGGGACAAAAGUGGGUCCGCCAUUUGUCAGGUCAUAGCACGGUAUUAUGAUCACGGUUUAACAAUUUAGUGAAUAUUCUUGUCAUUUAGCUGCCAUUGCCUGCUGUCAAGUCAAACGAAUGUAAACAAUAAUAACAAAUAUCAACGUAUUUUUGGUGAUAUUUAGCGGAUUCGUGUGGUUUUAUUAGCUUUUUUUGCUGAAUAGCAGGAUAUUUACGAUGGCUUACUUCACAAUUAUAGUAUUUCUCCUUCAAAAUUGAUGAAAAGACUCAUCGAAU